UACGAGGGGGGCAAGCGUUGUUCGGAAUUAUUGGGCAUAAAGGGCGCGUAGGCGGUUUGACAAGUCUGAUGUGAAAUCUAUGGGCUCAACCCAUAGCCUGCAUUAGAAACUGUCGGGCUUGAGUAUGGGAGAGGUGAGUGGAAUUUCCGGUGUAGCGGUGAAAUGCGUAGAUAUCGGAAGGAACACCUGUGGCGAAAGCGGCUCACUGGACCAUAACUGACGCUGAGGCGCGAAAGCUAGGGGAGCAAGCAGG
rnacentral:rRNA from 1 species